UGAUGGCGACCGGCGCACGGGUGAGUAACGCGUAUCCAACCUACCCAUUACUAGGGAAUAACCCAGCGAAAGUUGGCCUAAUGCCCUAUGUAGUCGUUUGAUCGCCUGAGAUUUCGACGAAAGAUUUAUCGGUAUUGGAUGGGGAUGCGUCUGAUUAGCUUGUUGGCGGGGUAAAGGCCCACCAAGGCAACGAUCAGUAGGGGUUCUGAGAGGAAGGUCCCCCACAUUGGAACUGAGACACGGUCCAAACUCCUACGGGAGGCAGCAGAG
rnacentral:rRNA from 1 species